rnacentral:rRNA from 1 species
UACAGAGGGUGCAAGCGUUAGUCGGAAUUACUGGGCGUAAAGCGUGCGUAGACGGUCAUGUAAGUCGGGUGUGAAAGCCCCGGGCUCAACCUGGGAAUUGCAUUCGAGACUGCAUGGCUAGGGUGCGGAAGAGGGAAGCGGAAUUUCCGGUGUAGCGGUGAAAUGCGUAGAUAUCGGAAGGAACACCAGUGGCGAAAGCGGCUUCCUGGUCCAGCACCGACGUUCAGGCACGAAAGCGUGGGGAGCAAACAGG